rnacentral:rRNA from 1 species
GAUGAACGCUGGCGGCGUGCCUAAUACAUGCAAGUCGAGCGAACAGACGAGGAGCUUGCUCCUCUGACGUUAGCGGCGGACGGGUGAGUAACACGUGGAUAACCUACCUAUAAGACUGGGAUAACUUCGGGAAACCGGAGCUAAUACCGGAUAAUAUAUUGAACCGCAUGGUUCAAUAGUGAAAGACGGUUUUGCUGUCACUUAUAGAUGGAUCCGCGCCGCAUUAGCUAGUUGGUAAGGUAACGGCUUACCAAGGCAACGAUGCGUAGCCGACCUGAGAGGGUGAUAGGCCACACUGGAACUGAGACACGGACCAGACUCCUACGGGAGGCAGCAGUAGGGAAUCGUCCGCAAUGGGCGAAAGCUUGACGGAGCAACGCCGCGUGAGUGAUGAAGGUCUUCGGAUCGUAAAACUCUGUUAUUAGGGAAGAACAAAUGUGUAAGUAACUAUGCACGUCUUGACGGUACCUAAUCAGAAAGCCACGGCUAACUACGUG